GUUCUUGUAGUAAAAUGUAAUAACGACUGCUUUUCAAGCUGUAAAUCCUGGCUAGAGUCCGGGCAAGAAUU
rnacentral:tRNA from 1 species